CUCCAGAUAGCCUAGUGGUUAAGGCUUUGGAUCGCCAAUCCGGAGACGAUAGGUUCGAUUCCUGGUCCGGUCG
rnacentral:tRNA from 1 species